rnacentral:rRNA from 1 species
AGAGUUUGAUCCUGGCUCAGAUUGAACGCUGGCGGCGUGCCUAACCCCAUGCAAGUCGAGCGGUAACAGGUGUAGCAAUACAUGCUGACGAGCGGCGAACGGGUGAGUAAUGCUUUGGAAUCUUCCCAGUAGUGGGGAAUAACCAGUCGAAAGAUUGGCUAAUACCGCAUACGUCUGUAAAGGGAAAGCGGGGGCUCGUAAGACCUCGCGCUAUUGGAUGAGCCAAAGUCGGAUUAGCUAGUUGGUGGGGUAAUGGCCUACCAAGGCGACAAUCCGUAGCUGGUCUGAGAGGACGACCAGCCCCACCGGAACUGAGACACGGUCCGGACUCCUACGGGAGGCAGCAGUGGGGAAUAUUGGACAAUGGGGGAAACCCUGAUCCAGCGACGCCGCGUGUGUGAAGAAGGCCUGCGGGUUGUAAAGCACUUUUAGUGGGGACAA